GGUAACGAUGGAAACGGCUGGGCCUUGAAGUGCCUGGGAGUGUUCACUGUGUCUUCCUGCCCACACUGGGGGCUGCCAGAGCUGAUCCACUCUCUCCAUGGUCCUCUUGUAUUCCCUCUCCGUACCCGCUCCUGUCCUGGAGUACUAAACCAAAGAAAUAUGAUCCCAAAGCAAGUACUGUGAAUGCUGGAUAUCUGAAAUAGCAUCACAAAUUGCUGGAAAUCGUCAGAAGUUCAGACAGCAUCUGUGGAGAGAAACGAGGGUGAUGUUUCAGAUGGUCAGAGAGAACUUGCCUUCAGAGGAACAGCCAUUGUUCUCUAUCUCUCUUUCUCAUCAAAAUUUGUGAAUUGCAAACCCACUGGAAGACCUCAUCACCACAAGUAGAGGGUUCCUAAAGGAGAAGGCUGAAUCGAUACCACUGUCUCCAGAGAAAGAGAAUUCAACUAGCAGAACUGAUCCAAGAGGAAACCUCAAGGCCAACUGUCUGUGCAGACAGUGACUUCAGCUAUAGACUAGCAUCUGGGAAUAAUCAGUGAAUAAUUUUAUGUUCCAAAUUACUGUAUUGGUACAAAGUACUUCUAAGGCAGCAUUCUGCAGAGGUACCUCACCCACCCCUGCCCCCCCCCCCCCCCGCCAGGCUUGUAGAUGGUUAUGGUUAUGAUUGUGUGUAUUUUUUCAAGAAGGAGUUGGAUA